AGAUUGAACGCUGGCGGCAGGCCUAACACAUGCAAGUCGAGCGGUAGAGAGGUGCUUGCACCUCUUGAGAGCGGCGGACGGGUGAGUAAUGCCUAGGAAUCUGCCUAGUGGUGGGGGAUAACGUUCGGAAACGGACGCUAAUACCGCAUACGUCCUACGGGAGAAAGCGGGGGACCUUCGGGCCUCGCGCCAUUAGAUGAGCCUAGGUCGGAUUAGCUAGUUGGUGAGGUAAUGGCUCACCAAGGCGACGAUCCGUAACUGGUCUGAGAGGAUGAUCAGUCACACUGGAACUGAGACACGGUCCAGACUCCUACGGGAGCAGCAGUGGGAAUAUUGGACAA
rnacentral:rRNA from 1 species